rnacentral:lncRNA from 1 species
CAGUGAGUUAUUUCUCUAAUAGUGAAUAUGAUAUUUUGAAAACCUUUAUUUGGAAUGACAUGUUAGAAAAUGCUGUUACUUACCCAUGUUCUGCUAAGGGAUUUUCUUCCCCAUAUGUGGUUGCUGAGGCUAGUUUAACUCCAACUCACCCAGGAAUUAGAAUAUGUAAUCAAUGAAUUGGGGUUGUACGAAAAAUGAAUGUAUUGCUCUAGUAAAGUAAGGAAAAAAAAAUGGGUUGAUUGUUCAGGCAUUCAAGUCUAUUGAAAAAGGCAUUUAUAAAUUUUCAAGGGUCCAUAGCUUUGUUGCACACUCAACCUAUUUUAACAACUUGAUCAUGGGCAUGUACAGGGAC